rnacentral:rRNA from 1 species
CCUACGGGAGGCAGCAGUAGGGAAUCUUUCGCAAUGGCGAAAGCCUGACGGAGCAACGCCGCGUGAGUGAUGAAGGUCUUCGGAUCGUAAACUCUGUUAUUAGGGAAGAACAAACGU